rnacentral:rRNA from 1 species
UACGUAGGGUCCGAGCGUUGUCCGGAAUUAUUGGGCGUAAAGGGCUCGUAGGCGGUCCGUCACGUCAGGAGUGAAAACUCAGGGCUCAACCCUGAGCGUGCUUCCGAUACGGGCGGACUAGAGGUAUGCAGGGGAGAACGGAAUUCCUGGUGUAGCGGUGGAAUGCGCAGAUAUCAGGAGGAACACCGGUGGCGAAGGCGGUUCUCUGGGCAUUACCUGACGCUGAGGAGCGAAAGCAUGGGGAGCGAACAGG